UACGAAGGGGGCUAGCGUUGUUCGGAAUUACUGGGCGUAAAGUGCGUGUAGGCGGGUCUUUAAGUCAGGGGUGAAAUGCCAAGGCUCAACCUUGGAACUGCCUUUGAUACUGGAGAUCUUGAGUCCGGGAGAGGUGAGUGGAAUUGCGAGUGUAGAGGUGAAAUUCGUAGAUAUUCGCAAGAACACCAGUGGCGAAGGCGGCUCACUGGCCCGGAACUGACGCUGAGACGCGAAAGCGUGGGGAGCGAACAGG
rnacentral:rRNA from 1 species